AUUGAACGCUGGCGGCAUGCCUUACACAUGCAAGUCGAACGGCAGCACGGGGGCAACCCUGGUGGCGAGUGGCGAACGGGUGAGUAAUAUAUCGGAACGUACCCUGGAGUGGGGGAUAACGUAGCGAAAGUUACGCUAAUACCGCAUACGAUCUAAGGAUGAAAGUGGGGGAUCGCAAGACCUCAUGCUCCUGGAGCGGCCGAUAUCUGAUUAGCUAGUUGGUGGGGUAAAGGCCUACCAAGGCAUCGAUCAGUAGCUGGUCUGAGAGGACGACCAGCCACACUGGGACUGAGACACGGCCCAGACUCCUACGGGAGGCAGCAGUGGGGAAUUUUGCACAAUGGGGGGCAACCCUGAUCCAGCAAUGCCGCGUGAGUGAAGAAGGCCUUCGGGUUGUAAGACGUCCUUUUGUUCUAGGGAAGGAAACGGUUA
rnacentral:rRNA from 1 species